AUGGACGCCGCCGGCCCGCCGCCCGCGGCCUCCGCCGACGUCGGCGGCGGCAGGUCCUUCAUCGGCCUGUCCACCGCCGCCGAGGCCGCGCUCGCGGGCGCCGUCGUCCUGCUCCUCGUCGUCGCGGCCGCGUCGAUCGCCGCAUACCUGGCGCGCCGGCGCGGGGGCGGGGCCAAGCCGCAGUCCUCGCGCGUCGACCACGCGCUCUCCUCCGGCUCGCUCCUCCCGACCUCCACGCCCAAGCAGAAGUACGCCGAGGUCGGGGCCGAGGUCGGCACGAGCUCCUCCGACGUGGCCAGCUCGUCCGCGGCGGCCAGCUCCCUGGAGUCGCCGGUGCGGAAGAAGCUGGAGAGGAUCAGCGGAGGCGGAGCGGCGCCCGGGGUGGAGAUGGGCUGGGGGAGGUGGUAUGAGCUGGAGGAGCUGGAGGCGGCCACGGGCGGGUUCCGCGAGGCGAACGUGGUCGGGGAGGGAGGCUACGGCACGGUGUACCGCGGCGUGCUUGCCGGCGGCGAGGUGGUCGCCGUCAAGAACCUCUUCGAUCACAAGGGUCAGGCCGAGCAGGAAUUCAAGGUGGAGGUUGAAGCCAUCGGCAGAGUGAGGCACAAGCACCUCGCCGGCCUCAUCGGUUACUGCGCAGAAGGGCCUAAACGGAUGCUCGUGUACGAGUUUGUUGAGAACGGCAACUUGGAGCAGUGGCUGCACGGGGACGUCGGCCCCGUCAGCCCGCUGACAUGGGAGAUACGUUUGAAGAUCGCCAUCGGGACAGCCAAAGGUAUUGCCUACUUGCACGAAGGGCUGGAGCCCAAGGUGGUGCACCGGGACAUCAAGUCCAGCAACAUCCUUCUGGACAAGAAAUGGAACCCCAAGGUGUCCGACUUCGGCAUGGCCAAGGUCCUCGGCUCCGGCUCCAGCUACGUGACGACCCGUGUGAUGGGCACGUUCGGGUACGUGGCCCCGGAGUACGCCUCGACAGGGAUGCUGAACGAGAGCAGCGACAUCUACAGCUUCGGCGUGCUGCUGAUGGAGCUCAUCUCCGGGAGGAGCCCGGUGGACUACAACCGGCCGGCGGGCGAGGUGAACCUGGUGGAGUGGUUCAGGGGGAUGGUGGGGAGCCGGCGCGUGGAGGACCUGGCGGACCCGCGCAUCGUGCCGGUGCCGGCGCCCAGGGUGCUCAACCGGGUGCUGCUGGUGUGCCUCCGCUGCAUCGACUCCGAUGCGCACAAGCGGCCCAAGAUGGGGCAGAUCGUGCACAUGCUCGAGGGCGACGAGUUCCCCUUCCGCACGGAGCACCGAUCGCCGCGGGCGGCUCACCGGCCGUCGACCAACGCCCGGACGUCGCUUCUGGCCGAGAAGGCCGGACCCGACGACGCCGACAAAUCCACGUGGAGAUGA
rnacentral:rRNA from 1 species